AUGUGCAUUCCUACAACGUUAAUGCACCAAAUCCUAUUAGAAAUCCACAGUUAAAUGUAUUUGGGCUAUAGUAGUACUGGAAUGGAUGACCUCUUGGGAAGUCCUAGUGUUUUACAUU
rnacentral:rRNA from 1 species